CUGGUUAGGCCGCAGGUCCAUGGGGACCACCUGUGAGAAAAGCGGGUCUGACACCCCCAUGUGUGUACAGAAUGGCACCAUUUCAUAGGGAAACACCAAGCGCCAAGAGCACUGGCUGCCUCUGGGAGAGGAGUUUUCCACUGUACCUUUCGCAUUUUAAGCCACGUGGUUACAACAGUCCCUAAACAUAGUCAGAAAAAACAGGAUGGGAUAGACAGCAACAGCAGCAGAAAUGGGGGAGCGUCCGGGGGUGCACAGGGUGGCACCCGCGUGGCUGGUGUGCAGCCUGGGGCUGUGGCAGGCUCUGGGCCAGGACCCAUGGACCCCUUUGGUUGCCCCACCAGGAAAACGUGGCAGGAGCUGAGCCAGCAACAUGUUCCGUGUGCAGACCUGGGCCUGGCUGUGCAAGGCACGAUCCAGCACAUUGAGGACCACAGCCGGGACAACCUCCUGCCUCGAGUCAGGGCCUUGUGCCAGAGUCUGCUAAGGGGCCACUUUGGGAAGAAGGACAAGGAUCUGGUUGGAGCUCUGCAGUCCCUGUGGCAGGGCCUGGAGGGCUGCCCCAACAUGCACUCUACUCCCGCGUACAAGAGAAUCAUGCGAAGUUUGCACACGGUGGUCUUUGGGGAGUAUGUCCAGGCCCUGGCCACCCACCUCAGGACGCUGGAGCCUGGGACGUGGGAGGGCCUCGGGGUUCAGGUGGAGACAGACACCAGGAAGUUGCACGACAUCUUCACGAAGCAUGGGGACCUCGGCUUGACCAACCCACAGGAGUCCAUCAUGGGGAUCUUCCAGUCCCGUGAGAACAAGAGCAGGGAGACUGUGGAUGACUGGCUGGCCUCCUUCAGGGACAGAUUCCCAGGUUAUGUGAGCAUUCAGGACCAGCCAUGCAGCUCUGUGGACCUGGACAAGGAGAUUGAGGUCAAGGGAAGCUACUGCCGCUGCUGCUGCUGACACCCCCAGCUCUGGACAAGGUGACCACGGGUGC
rnacentral:lncRNA from 1 species